rnacentral:misc_RNA from 1 species
UUAAGUUCAGCGGGUAGUCUUACCUGAUUUGAGGUCAAAAAUGUCAAGUAUUGUCCGUGUAAGGGACGGUUAGAAGCAGGUUCAUAAUAGUCUUCCAAUCCACGGCGUAGAUAAUUAUCACACCAAUAGAUUAGGGGACCAAACCCACUAAUACAUUUCAGAGGAGCAGACCACAAAAGAGCGGACCUGCAAACCCCCAC